UCUUAUGGAUGAGCAAAGAAAGUGGUUUCUUGAGAUGGAUUCUCUACCUGGUGAAAAUUCUGUGAA
rnacentral:pre_miRNA from 1 species